AUUGAACGCUGGCGGCAGGCCUAACACAUGCAAGUCGAGCGGGGUUUUCGGACCUAGCGGCGGACGGGUGAGUAAUGCGUAGGAAGCUGCCCGAUAGAGGGGGAUACCAGUUGGAAACGACUGUUAAUACCGCAUAAUGUCUACGGACCAAAGUGUGGGACCUUCGGGCCACAUGCUAUCGGAUGCGCCUACGUGUGGAUUAGCUAGUUGGUGAGGUAAUGGCUCACCAAGGCGACGAUCUCUAGCUGGUUUGAGAGGAUGAUCAGCAACACUGGAACUGCGACACGGUCCAGAAUCCUACGGGAGGCAGCAGUGGGGAAUAGUGGACAAUGGGCGCAAGCCUGAUCCAGCCAUGCCGCGUGUGUGAAGAAGGCCUUCGGGUUGUAAAGCACUUUCAGCGAGGAGGAAGGGGUGUGUGUUAAUAGUACACACCUUUGACGUUACUCGCAGAAGAAGCACCGGCUAACUCUGUGCCAGCCGCCGCUGUAACAC
rnacentral:rRNA from 1 species